GGUUCAGUCGCAGAUAAGGUAAUGCAGAGGUUUCAUACGCCUCAUGAAUGUGGGUUCGAUUCCCAUCUGAACUACCA
rnacentral:tRNA from 2 species